AUUGAACGCUGGCGGCAGGCCUAACACAUGCAAGUCGAACGGUAACAGGAAGAAGCUUGCUUCUUUGCUGACGAGUGGCGGACGGGUGAGUAAUGUCUGGGAAACUGCCUGAUGGAGGGGGAUAACUACUGGAAACGGUAGCUAAUACCGCAUAACGUCGCAAGACCAAAGAGGGGGACCUUCGGGCCUCUUGCCAUCGGAUGUGCCCAGAUGGGAUUAGCUAGUAGGUGGGGUAACGGCUCACCUAGGCGACGAUCCCUAGCUGGUCUGAGAGGAUGACCAGCCACACUGGAACGGAGACACGGUCCAGACUCCUACGGGAGGCAGCAGUGGGGAAUAUUGCACAAUGGGCGCAAGCCUGAUGCAGCCAUGCCGCGUGUAUGAAGAAGGCCUUCGGGUUGUAAAGUACUUUCAGCGGGGAGGAAGGGAGUAAAGUUAAUACCUUGGCUCAUUGACGUUACCCGCAGAAGAAGCACCGGCUAACUCCGUG
rnacentral:rRNA from 1 species